rnacentral:lncRNA from 1 species
CUCAUGAACACUGCCCUGACCAGCCCAGGGACCCACUCCCCUGCCAACUGCAAUAGCUGAUUUCCAAAGCCCCUGCCACUCCAGUCCAAACAUAUGGACCCCCUUCUCAGCUCCAAGAACUAGAAGGUUUGGAUCCAAAAACAAUGUAAAUGGAAGUUACUUCUGUCUUUAUCUCUGUCACCCUGGCAAUGCAAGAAAUGGUUAAGUUACCUAGGGCCAUGUUUGGAAUUGUAACAAAAUCAAUGACUUUGUCAUCCAGAGGGAAAUUUUUAAUUAAUAUUUAAAUCAGAAGUGAUCCUCUUGCCAUAGACAGCCAUGGCAAUCCAAACCUUUUCCUCCCAACAUGAAGCAGAUAGAAGAAUUAGAAGCCAAGUCUUUUUCCAAGAAUUGGGUUAGAAUCAGGGAAGAAAAUGGGAGUGAAUCUUUACCACAAGCAUAUCAGAUAGAGCACUCAUCUCUAGGAAAAAAAAAAAAACCUUAACACCAAAGAAACAAAUAACCCAAUCAAUAAAUGGGCCAGGGAACUGAACAGAUACUUCUCAGAAGAUAUAUACAAUCAAACAAUAAACACAUGAAAAAAUGUUCAACAUCUCUCUUAAUUAGAGAAAUUCAAAUCAAAACUACUAUAAGAUUACUCCAGUCAGAAUGGCAGCUAUUAGGAAUACAAACAACAAUAUGUGUCGGAGAGAAUGUGGGGGAAAAGGUAUACUCAUACAUUGCUGGUGGGACUGCAAAUUGGUGCAGCCAAUCUGGAAAGCAGUAUGAAGAUUCCUUGGAAAACCUGGAAUGGAACCACCAUUUGACCCAGCUAUCCCAUUCCUCAGUUUAUACCCAAAGGACUUAAAAACAGCAUACUACAGGGACACAGCCACAUCAAUGUUUAUAGUAGCACAAUUCACAGUAGCUAAAUUAUGGAAACAACCUAGAUGCCCUUCAGUAGAUGAAUGGAUAGGGAAACUUUUGUAUAUCUAUAUACAAUAGAACAUUACUCAGUAUUAAAAGAGAAUAAAAUCAUGGCAUUUGCAGGUAAAUGGAUAAAAAGUUGGAGAAUAUAAUGCUAAAUGAAGUAAGCCAAUCCCCCAAAAU